CGGGGGAUAUUGCACAAUGGGCGAAAGCCUGAUGCAGCGACGCUGCGUGGUGGAUGAAGGCCUCCGGGUUGUAAACUUCUUUUGCUCUGAACAAGGCAUGCUUCUGGGGCGCGUUGAGUGUAGGGGUUGAUUAGCGCCGGCUAACUACGUGCCAGCAGCCGCGGUAAUACGUAGGGCGCGAGCGUUGUCCGGAAUUAUUGGGCGUAAAGGGCUUGUAGGUGGUUCGUCGCGUCUGUCGUGAAAGCCAGCAGCUUAACUGUUGGUCUGCGGUGGGUACGGGUGGGCUUGAGGGCGGUAGGGGUGAGUGGAGUUCCUGGUGUAGCGGUAGAAUGCGCAGAUAUCAGGAAGAACACCGAUGGCGGAGGCAGGUCACUAGGCCGUUACUGACACUGAGGAGCGAAGGCGUGGGGAGCGAAGAGG
rnacentral:rRNA from 1 species